rnacentral:rRNA from 1 species
UACGUAGGGUGCAAGCGUUGUCCGGAAUUAUUGGGCGUAAAGAGCUUGUAGGCGGUUUGUCGCGUCUGCUGUGAAAUUUCGGGGCUCAACCCCGAACUUGAGUGGGUACGGGCAGACUAGAGUGUGGUAGGGGAGACUGGAAUUCCUGGUGUAGCGGUGAAAUGCGCAGAUAUCAGGAGGAACACCGAUGGCGAAGGCAGGUCUCUGGGCCGGUACUGACACUGAGGAGCGAAAGCGUGGGUAGCAAACAGG